rnacentral:lncRNA from 1 species
ACAUUAUACUUUAAAAUUUUAGAUUUAAUAAAACUCAGAUGUACAUUACAACUUAAGUCAAUAAAAUUAAUUAUAAUUUUUUUGCAUAUUCUCUUGUUUUAAUGUAUGAAGCAUAUAUUUAAUUUUAAAAAAGGUAUAAAAUAAGCAAAUCAUUCUACCAAUGUUGAUUUGGUGUAGGAAAUAAAGUCAGUCACUUUGAGAAGGCUACCGUGUUAAACAAAUAAAUCAAGUAGCUAAGUAAUAUGUGUAUGUAUAUGUCAUUUUAAUUAAAAGACAUGCAUUCUG